UACGAAGGGGGCUAGCGUUGCUCGGAAUCACUGGGCGUAAAGGGUGCGUAGGCGGGUCUUUAAGUCAGGGGUGAAAUCCUGGAGCUCAACUCCAGAACUGCCUUUGAUACUGAAGAUCUUGAGUUCGGGAGAGGUGAGUGGAACUGCGAGUGUAGAGGUGAAAUUCGUAGAUAUUCGCAAGAACACCAGUGGCGAAGGCGGCUCACUGGCCCGAUACUGACGCUGAGGAGCGAAAGUGUGGGGAGCGAACAGG
rnacentral:rRNA from 1 species